rnacentral:rRNA from 1 species
CACACCGCCCGUCACACCAUGGGAGUGGGUUGCACCAGAAGUAGCUAGUCUAACCUUCGGGAGGACGGCUACCACGGUGUGAUUCAUGACUGGGGUG